rnacentral:lncRNA from 1 species
UGGUACAUAUGAAAAGGCAUUACAGGCAGUAUCGAAGGAGAAUAGGCUCUCAGAAAUAAGCCUCCGAUGAUACGCACUUUUAUUAUCUACUUUAAAUUAUUAAAAAUAGGAUUAAAUAUGUUUUUAGUCCCUGAAGUUUCACUGAAUUUUGGUUUUAGUUCUCGCAUGAAACUUUGAUAGCAUUUCAUCCUCAAAUUUGGUAAUUCUUACUUUUAGUCCCUACAAACAAACUCCGUUAGUGUGAACAGUGAUGUGGCUAACGGCUGAACCACGUAGUCUUCCACUAACUCACCAUUGCUUGCCA